rnacentral:rRNA from 1 species
GACGAACGCUGGCGGCGUGCUUAACACAUGCAAGUCGAACGGAAAGCCCUGCUUUUGUGGGGUGCUCGAGUGGCGAACGGGUGAGUAACACGUGAGUAACCUGCCCUUGACUUUGGGGUAACUUCAGGAAACUGGGGCUAAUACCGGAUAGGAGCUCCUGCUGCAUGGUGGGGGUUGGAAAGUUUCGGCGGUUGGGGAUGGACUCGCGGCUUAUCAGCUUGUUGGUGGGGUAGUGGCUUACCAAGGCUUUGACGGGUAGCCGGCCUGAGAGGGUGACCGGCCACAUUGGGACUGGGAUACGGCCCAGACUCCUACGGGAGGCAGCAGUGGGGAAUAUUGCACAAUGGGCGGAAGCCUGAUGCAGCAACGCCGCGUGCGGGAUGACGGCCUUCGGGUUGUAAACCGCUUUCGCCUGUGACGAAGCGUGAGUGACGGUAAUGGGUAAAGAAGCACCGGCUAACUACGUG